CGUUCUCCAGCCCCAAUGACUUAAUCGGCUGACAUGAAGUAGAUAAGAUUGUAUUUGUACUGCAACUGGGCAUGGUUGAAGUUUAAUUGUGUUGGUAAACAGAGCCCAGUGGCUGCUUUGGAAUUUCUGCAGAUGCCACAGAAUUAUUCCUCUGCAGUUUGGGACGUGCCUCUUACAUCUUUCACUGAAAUGAAAAUUGCUUCCUGACAGAGCAGAGGCCUCAGUGCUGGAACUAGAGGUGUGGUAGCCCUCUAAGAUUCCAAAGGAUCUUUCGCUUAACACGGAAGAGGAAACCAGGGCAAAUUUCUGGCAAAAUCAAAUGCCAUCUCCUCACUGCAAAAUGCUCGUGUGUUUCAGGAGAGACAAUAAUUGCUAAAUAUCUAGAAAUCUCCUUGCUGGGUUCUCAGGGGCCCCAAGGAUCAAUAAGCCAGGCUGCUGCUGAGAGAAGUCACCGGGUCACUGAGAAAGAGAUCACCUUUGGCUCCUGGUGUUCACCGACGCUGGCGGAAGCAGCAUUUCUCUUGGAUCCAGCAGAUUCACUGGGAACUGGACUAAAAACAUUUUCCUUCACUGUGGGAAAAUCCUGAACAAUGUUUCAGACUUUCAGGAAGACAAAAGAGAUUGGCAUUGUAGCCAGAAUGGAAGUGCUGGCCGUGACACCAUCUCUGCCCCCAGGGGAGUAAGCUUCUGUUCAUUUUACUGCGGCCAUGUGAAUGUACGGCCACCAUAUUUUACCCGCAUUUAUUACCACCUGAAAUCACUGCAGAUGGUGACUGCAGCCAUGAAAUUAAAGACCCUUGCUCCUUGGAAGAAAAGUUAUGACCAACCUACACAGCAUAUUAAAAAGCAGAGACACUUCUUUGCCAACAAAGGUCCAUGUAGUCAAAGCUACGGUUUUUCCAGUAGUCAUGUAUGUAUGUGAGAGCUGGACUAUAAAGAAAGCUGAGUGUCAAAGAAUUGAUGCUUUUGAACUGUGGUGUUGGAAAAGACUCUUGAGAGCCCCUUGGACUGCAAGGAGAUCCAACCAGUCCAUCCUAAAGGAAAUCAGUCCUGAAUAUCCAUUGGAAGGACUGAUGCUGAAGCUGAAACUCUAAUACUUUGGCCACCUGAUGCAAAGAACUGACUCAUUGGAAAAGACCCUGAUGCUGGGAAAGAUUGAGGGCAGGAGGAGAAGGGGACGACAGAGGAUGAGAUGGUUGGAUGGUAUCACUGACUCAAUGGACAUGAGUUUGAGUAAGCUCUGGGAGUCGGUGAUGGACAGGGAGGCCUGGCAUGCUGUAGUCCAUGGAGUCACAAAAGUUGGACAAAACUGAGAGACUGAACUGAACUGAAAUAUUAUGACAUAUUUUU
ensembl:lncRNA